rnacentral:rRNA from 1 species
AUUGAACGCUGGCGGCAUGCCUUACACAUGCAAGUUGAACGGCAGCACGGGAGCAAUCCUGGUGGCGAGUGGCGAACGGGUGAGUAAAGUAUCGGAACGUGCCCAGUCGUGGGGGAUAACGUAGCGAAAGUUACGCUAAUACCGCAUACGAUCUAUGGAUGAAAGCGGGGGAUCGCAAGACCUCGCGCGAUUGGAGCGGCCGAUAUCAGAUUAGGUAGUUGGUGGGGUAAAGGCCCACCAAGCCGACGAUCUGUAGCUGGUCGGAGAGGACGACCAGCAACACUGGGACUGAGACACGGCACAGCCUCCUACGGGAGGCAGCAGUGGGGAAUUUUGGACAAUGGGCGAAAGCCUGAUCCAGCCAUGCCGCGUGCAGGAUGAAGGCCUUCGGGUUGCAAACUGCUUUUGUACGGAACGAAAAGGACUGCCCUAAUACGGUGGUCCCAUGACGGUACCGUAAGAAUAAGCACCGGCUAACUACGUGCCAGCCGCCGCGGUAA